rnacentral:lncRNA from 1 species
GAGAUGAUAAUGAAUAGUGAAAAAUGCCAAGCAGACAAUAAGCAGAAGGAACAGAGGAAAUCCACAAACUGGAUAAUUGUUUCUUGAGUAACUGACCAUCAAUCUAGAUAGUGGUUGCAGUAAUUUCAAAUUCUUCUCUUCCUUUUCACUUCAGGCUUUCAUUUGGUCUCUUUUCGAAUCAGAAGACCCAGAAAACUUGGAUCCACUUCUGGCUCUCAUCCCUCUGGGCAGUGUGAUUUGGAUUGAGCAGAUGCUCCGGCUGCCACUCCAUCAUAUAUUGGAAACAGCAUUACUUUAUAGUAAAUCAUGACCACGGUGUAUGGCAAUGAAGUUGCAUCUGAAGCAGCCGGCACCCUAUGUGCUAGCUGGCUUUUAGACCAGGAGACUGUGAAUCUGUGGUCAGGAUCUCUUUAGGGCUGCUAAAUAUAUACUACCCACUAUCACUCGCUGGAGCUGCAGACCCUAGUUUUAGAGUUUCACUUCUUAAAGACCUUCAUCCUUAUUAAAAUGGUAAUAUCCUUACUGUC